rnacentral:rRNA from 1 species
CUAGUACUCCUAUCUGUUAAGGAUAGGUAGAGGAAGACGCAGUGAACUGAAACAUCUAAGUAGCUGCAGGAAGAGAAAGCAAAAGCGAUUGCCUGAGUAGCGGCGAGCGAAACGGCAGGAGGGCAAACCGAAGAGUUUACUCUUCGGGGUUGUAGGACUGCAAUGUGGACUUAAAGAAUAUAGAAGAAUGACAUGGGAAGGUCAGCCAAAGAGAGUAAGAGCCUCGUAUUCGAAAUAGUCUUUAUACCUAGCAGUAUCCUGAGUACGGCGGGACACGAGAAAUCCCGUCGGAAUCUGGGAGGACCAUCUCCCAACCCUAAAUACUCUCUAGUGACCGAUAGUGAACCAGUACCGUGAGGGAAAGGUGAAAAGCACCCCGGGAGGGGAGUGAAAUAGAACCUGAAACCGUGUGCCUACAACAAGUUCGAGCCCGUUAAUGGGUGAGAGCGUGCCUUUUGUAGAAUGAACCGGCGAGUUACGAUAUGAUGCGAGGUUAAGUUGAAGAGACGGAGCCGUAGGGAAACCGAGUCUGAAUAGGGCGUCUUAGUAUUAUGUCGUAGACCCGAAACCAUGUGACCUACCCAUGAGCAGGUUGAAGGUGAGGUAAAACUCACUGGAGGACCGAACCAGGGCACGUUGAAAAGUGCUUGGAUGACUUGUGGGUAGCGGAGAAAUUCCAAACGAACUUGGAGAUAGCUGGUUCUCUCCGAAAUAGCUUUAGGGCUAGCGUCGACAUUAAGAUUCUUGGAGGUAGAGCACUGUUUGGGUGAGGGGUCCAUCCCGGAUUACCAAUCUCAGAUAAACUCCGAAUGCCAAUGAAUUAUGGUCGGCAGUCAGACUGCGAGUGCUAAGAUCCGUAGUCGAAAGGGAAACAGCCCAGACCACCAGCUAAGGUCCCAAAAUAAUUGUUAAGUGGAAAAGGAUGUGGGGUUGCACAGACAACUAGGAUGUUAGCUUAGAAGCAGCUAUUCAUUCAAAGAGUGCGUAAUAGCUCACUAGUCGAGUGACCCUGCGCCGAAAAUGUACCGGGGCUAAAACAUAUUACCGAAGCUGUGGAUACCUUUAUAGGUAUGGUAGGAGAGCGUUCUAUGUGUGGAGAAGGUGUACCGUGAGGAGCGCUGGAACGCAUAGAAGUGAGAAUGCCGGUAUGAGUAGCGAAAGACAGGUGAGAAUCCUGUCCACCGUAAGACUAAGGUUUCCAGGGGAAGGCUCGUCCGCCCUGGGUUAGUCGGGACCU